CUCAGGACGAACGCUGGCGGCGUGCCUAAUACAUGCAAGUCGAGCGGACAGAUGGGAGCUUGCUCCCUGAUGUUAGCGGCGGACGGGUGAGUAACACGUGGGUAACCUGCCUGUAAGACUGGGAUAACUCCGGGAAACCGGGGCUAAUACCGGAUGNUUGUUUGAACCGCAUGGUUCAGACAUAAAAGGUGGCUUCGGCUACCACUUACAGAUGGACCCGCGGCGCAUUAGCUAGUUGGUGAGGUAACGGCUCACCAAGGCNACGAUGCGUAGCCGACCUGAGAGGGUGAUCGGCCACACUGGGACUGAGACACGGCCCAGACUCCUACGGGAGGCAGCAGUAGGGAAUCUUCCGCAAUGGACGAAAGUCUGACGGAGCAACGCCGCGUGAGUGAUGAAGGUUUUCGGAUCGUAAAGCUCUGUUGUUAGGGAAGAACAAGUGCCGUUCAAAUAGGGCGGCACCUUGACGGUACCUAACCAGAAAGCCACGGCUAACUACGUGCCAGCAGCCGCGGUAAUACGUAGGUGGCAAGCGUUGUCCGGAAUUAUUGGGCGUAAAGGGCUCGCAGGCGGUUUCUUAAGUCUGAUGUGAAAGCCCCCGGCUCAACCGGGGAGGGUCAUUGGAAACUGGGGAACUUGAGUGCAGAAGAGGAGAGUGGAAUUCCACGUGUAGCGGUGAAAUGCGUAGAGAUGUGGAGGAACACCAGUGGCGAAGGCGACUCUCUGGUCUGUAACUGACGCUGAGGAGCGAAAGCGUGGGGAGCGAACAGGAUUAGAUACCCUGGUAGUCCACGCCGUAAACGAUGAGUGCUAAGUGUUAGGGGGUUUCCGCCCCUUAGUGCUGCAGCUAACGCAUUAAGCACUCCGCCUGGGGAGUACGGUCGCAAGANUGAAACUCAAAGGANUUGACGGGGGCCCGCACAAGCGGUGGAGCAUGUGGUUUAAUUCGAAGCAACGCGAANAACCUUACCAGGUCUUGACAUCCUCUGACAAUCCUAGAGAUAGGACGUCCCCUUCGGGGGCAGAGUGACAGGNGGUGCAUGGUUGUCGUCAGCUCGUGUCGUGAGAUGUUGGGUUAAGUCCCGCAACGAGCGCAACCCUUGAUCUUAGUUGCCAGCAUUCAGUUGGGCACUCUAAGGUGACUGCCGGUGACAAACCGGAGGAAGGUGGGGAUGACGUCAAAUCAUCAUGCCCCUUAUGACCUGGGCUACACACGUGCUACAAUGGACAGAACAAAGGGCAGCGAAACCGCGAGGUUAAGCCAAUCCCACAAAUCUGUUCUCAGUUCGGAUCGCAGUCUGCAACUCGACUGCGUGAAGCUGGAAUCGCUAGUAAUCGCGGAUCAGCAUGCCGCGGUGAAUANNUUCCCGGGCCUUGUACACACCGCCCGUCACACCACGAGAGUUUGUAACACCCGAAGUCGGUGAGGUAACCUU
rnacentral:rRNA from 1 species